rnacentral:rRNA from 1 species
GACGAACGCUGGCGGCGUGCUUAACACAUGCAAGUCGAACGGAAAGGCCCUGCUUUUGUGGGGUGCUCGAGUGGCGAACGGGUGAGUAACACGUGAGUAACCUGCCCUUGACUUUGGGAUAACUUCAGGAAACUGGGGCUAAUACCGGAUAGGAUCUCCUGCUGCAUGGUGGGGGUUGGAAAGUUUCGGCGGGUGGGGAUGGACUCGCGGCUUAUCAGCUUGUUGGUGGGGUAGUGGCUUACCAAGGCUUGGACGGGUCGCCGGCCUGGGAGGGUGACCGGCGACAUUGGGACUGAGAUACGGCCCAGACUGCAACGGGAGGCAGCAGUGGGGAAUAUUGCACAAUGGGCGGACGCCUGAUGCAGAAACGCCGCGUGCGGGAUGACGGCCUUCGGGUUGUAAACCGCUUUCGCCUGUGACGAAGCGUGAGUGACGGUAAUGGGUAAAGAAGCACCGGCUAACUACGUG